ACAAAGAGCAGCAAGUUCGCGAGGACAAGCAAAUCUCAUAAACCGUGGCUCAGUUCAGAUCGUAGGCUGCAACUCGCCUACGUGAAGGAGGAAUCGCUAGUAAACGCAGGUCAGCAUACUGCGGUGAAUACGUUCCCGGGCCUUGUACACACCGCCCGUCACACCAUGGAAGUUGGCCACGCCCGAAGCCGUUACUCCAACCCUUGUGGAGGAGGACGUCGAAGGUGGGGCUGAUGACUGGGGUGAAGUCGUAACAAGGUAGCCGUACCGGAAGGUGCGGCUGGGUCACCUCCUAAC
rnacentral:rRNA from 1 species